rnacentral:rRNA from 1 species
GACGUAGGGCGCGAGCGUUGUCCGGAUUUAUUGGGCGUAAAGAGCUCGUAGGCGGUCUGUCGCGUCGGCUGUGAAAUCCCGAGGCUCAACCUCGGGUCUGCAGUCGAUACGGGCAAACUAGAGUAUUGCAGGGGAGACUGGAAUUCCUGGUGUAGCGGUGAAAUGCGCAGAUAUCAGGAAGAACACCCGUGGCGAAAGCGGCUCUCUGGAACGGUACUGACGCUGAGACGCGAAAGCGUGGGGAGCGAACAGG